GUGGAUUAGAUACCCUGGUAGUCCACGCCCUAAACGAUGCGAACUGGAUGUUGGGUGCAACUUGGCACUCAGUAUCGAAGCUAACGCGUUAAGUUCGCCGCCUGGGAAGUACGGUCGCAAGACUGAAACUCAAAGGAAUUGACGGGGGCCCGCACAAGCGGUGGAGUAUGUGGUUUAAUUCGAUGCAACGCGAAGAACCUUACCUGGCCUUGACAUGUCGCGAACUUUCCAGAGAUGGAUUGGUGCCUUCGGGAACGCGAACACAGGUGCUGCACGGCCGUCGCCAGCU
rnacentral:rRNA from 1 species